rnacentral:SRP_RNA from 1 species
UGUCAGCCCUCGCGUACUUGAUGAGGGUUUAAUAGGUCAGGUCCGGAAGGAAGCAGCCAGGGUCUUUAUUCAAGGUACCGCGGUCAGGUUGAUGCUC